rnacentral:rRNA from 1 species
UGCAAGUCGAACGGCAGCAUGAUCUAGCUUGCUAGAUUGAUGGCGAGUGGCGAACGGGUGAGUAAUACAUCGGAACGUGCCCUGUAGUGGGGGAUAACUAGUCGAAAGAUUAGCUAAUACCGCAUACGACCUGAGGGUGAAAGUGGGGGACCGCAAGGCCUCAUGCUAUAGGAGCGGCCGAUGUCUGAUUAGCUAGUUGGUGAGGUAAAGGCUCACCAAGGCGACGAUCAGUAGCUGGUCUGAGAGGACGAUCAGCCACACUGGGACUGAGACACGGCCCAGACUCCUACGGGAGGCAGCAGUGGGGAAUUUUGGACAAUGGGGGCAACCCUGAUCCAGCAAUGCCGCGUGUGUGAAGAAGGCCUUCGGGUUGUAAAGCACUUUUGUCCGGAAAGAAAUCGCACUUACUAAUAUUAGGUGUGGAUGACGGUACCGGAAGAAUAAGGACCGGCUAACUACGUGCCAGCAGCCGCGGUAAUACGUAGGGUCCAAGCGUUAAUCGGAAUUACUGGGCGUAAAGCGUGCGCAGGCGGUUGUGCAAGACCGAUGUGAAAUCCCCGGGCUUAACCUGGGAAUUGCAUUGGUGACUGCACGGCUAGAGUGUGUCAGAGGGGGGUAGAAUUCCACGUGUAGCAGUGAAAUG